GAUGAACGCUGGCGGCGUGCCUAAUACAUACAAGUCGAGCGAACAGACGAGGAGCUUGCUCCUCUGACGUUAGCGGCGGACGGGUGAGUAACACGUGGAUAACCUACCUAUAAGACUGGGAUAACUUCGGGAAACCGGAGCUAAUACCGGAUAAUAUAUUGAACCGCAUGGUUCAAUAGUGAAAGACGGUUUUGCUGUCACUUAUAGAUGGAUCCGCGCCGCAUUAGCUAGUUGGUAAGGUAACGGCUUACCAAGGCAACGAUGCGUAGCCGACCUGAGAGGGUGAUCGGCCACACUGGAACUGAGACACGGUCCAGACUCCUACGGGAGGCAGCAGUAGGGAAUCUUCCACAAAGGGCGAAAGCUUGACGGAGCAACGCCGCGUGAGUGAUGAAGGUCUUCGGAUCGUAAAACUCUGUUAUUAGGGAAGAACAAAUGUGUAAGUAACUAUGCACGUCUUGACGGUACCUAAUCAGAAAGCCACGGCUAACUACGUG
rnacentral:rRNA from 1 species